rnacentral:rRNA from 1 species
GGCUACACACGUGCUACAAUGGGUAGAACAGAGAGUUGCAAAGCUGUGAAGUGGAGCUAAUCUCAGAAAACUAUUCUUAGUUCGGAUUGUACUCUGCAACUCGAGUACAUGAAGUUGGAAUCGCUAGUAAUCGCGAAUCAGCAAUGUCGCAGGUGAAUACGUUCUCGGGUCUUGUACACACCGCCCGUCACACCACGAGAGUUGGUUGCACCUGAAGUAACAGGCCUAACCGUAAGGAGGGAUGCUCCGAGGGUGUGAUUAGCGAUUGGGGUGAAGUCGUAACAAGGUAUCCGUACGGGAACGU